UGGCGGACGGGUGAGUAACGCGUAGGAAACCUGCCUUCGAGAUGGGAAUAACACUCCUAACGGAGUGCUAAUACCGAAUGACACUGCGAUGUCGCAUGGCAAUGCAGUCAAAGGUGGCCUCUGUUUACAAGCUACCGCUCGAAGAUGGUCCUGCGUCCCAUUAGCUAGUUGGUGGGGUAACGGCCUACCAAGGCUACGAUGGGUAGCCGAUCUGAGAGGAUGACCGGCCACACUGGGACUGAGAUACGGCCCAGACUCCUACGGGAGGCAGCAGUCGAGAGGCUUCGGCAAUGGGGGAAACCCUGACCGAGCGACGCCGCGUGGAGGAUGAAGGCCUUUGGGUUGUAAACUCCUGUCAUGCGGGAAGAAACGCCACCGCACGAAUAGCGCGGUGGUUUGACGGUACCACAAGAGGAAGCUCCGGCUAACUCCGUGCCAGCAGCCGCGGUAAU
rnacentral:rRNA from 1 species